rnacentral:lncRNA from 1 species
CAAAAACAAAAAAAAAAAAAAAAAAAAAAAAAAAAAAAAAAAAAAAAAAAAAAAGGAGUGAAAGUAAGAAGAAGAAAAAAAGAGAUGGUGAGAAAAAAAAAGAGUUAUAAAAUAUUUAGAGAAAACUUCGAAAAUCAUUAAAAAAAAAAAAGAAAAGCAAGAGAAGUUCUUUGGAUUUGGCAAUUCGAGUUCGGAUUCCGUUCGAAUUUUCUGGUGACGACAUUUUGAUUUUCAUCUUUGGUUAACUUAUCACAUAGGUUCUUCUUGAGAUCCUUUCUAUUUAUUUUGUAAGUUUUAUUAUGAUCACAUAAUUGUUUUAUGUUUUUAUUUGUAAUUUAUUUAUUGUAUUGAAUCAAAGAAAAAAUAUAAUCUUAAUUAGUGUGUCAGUGAUUGUCAAUUGCUAUGUUGUAACUUGUUUGCUUAUUGUUCUUCAUGAAUCAUUUCGUUAAUUAUGAACAUUAAAGUUCUUGGAUGAUAAAAAGUGUAACGUUUUUCUUUUAAAAAAAUGCCAAUAUAUUAUUUUAUCAA